rnacentral:rRNA from 1 species
UACGUAGGGUGCAAGCGUUGUCCGGAAUUAUUGGGCGUAAAGAGCUCGUAGGCGGUCAGUCGCGUCUGCUGUGAAAACUCGGGGCUUAACUCCGGGCCUGCAGUGGGUACGGGCUGACUAGAGUGCGGUAGGGGAGACUGGAAUUCCUGGUGUAGCGGUGAAAUGCGUAGAUAUCGAGAGGAACACCUGCGGCGAAGGCGGGUUGCUGGGCUGAUACUGACGCUGAGGCGCGAAAGCCAGGGGAGCGAACGGG